UGGGAAUUUUGGACAAUGGGCGAAAGCCUGAUCCAGCAAUGCCGCGUGUGUGAAGAAGGCCUUCGGGUUGUAAAGCACUUUUGUCCGGAAAGAAAUCCUUGGCUCUAAUACAGUCGGGGGAUGACGGUACCGGAAGAAUAAGCACCGGCUAACUACGUGCCAGCAGCCGCGGUAAUACGUAGGGUGCAAGCGUUAAUCGGAAUUACUGGGCGUAAAGCGUGCGCAGGCGGUUUGCUAAGACCGAUGUGAAAUCCCCGGGCUCAACCUGGGAACUGCAUUGGUGACUGGCAGGCUAGAGUAUGGCAGAGGGGGGUAGAAUUCCACGUGUAGCAGUGAAAUGCGUAGAGAUGUGGAGGAAUACCGAUGGCGAAGGCAGCCCCCUGGGCCAAUACUGACGCUCAUGCACGAAAGCGUGGGGAGCAAACAGGAUUAGAUACCCUGGUAGUCCACGCCCUAAACGAUGUCAACUAGUUGUUGGGGAUUC
rnacentral:rRNA from 1 species